GGGACGGGUGAGGAACACAUGGGAAUCUGCCCAGUCGUGGGGGAUAACGCAGGGAAACUUGCGCUAAUACCGCAUGCGACCGAGAGGUGAAAGUGGGGGACCUUCGGGCCUCACGCGAUUGGAUGAGCCCAUGUCGGAUUAGCUAGUUGGCGGGGUAAAGGCCUACCAAGGCGACGAUCCGUAGCUGGUCUGAGAGGAUGAUCAGCCACACUGGGACUGAGACACGGCCCAG
rnacentral:rRNA from 1 species